GCCAGCCACAAUGGAGGGAGAUUUGCCUUUUGCAGAGGCAAAGCUGAGCUCAGCAGGCCACAAUAACUGGAGGCUCUUCCCCCACUCAGCUCACCCUGGCAGGGACAGCCCAUAGACAGGGUCUUCUGCUGAUCUCUAACUUCACAGGAAGCCCAUUCUCUGCUUCCCCAGGUUCUGGGCUGCUUCCCUGGAGAAACUGCCUUUUCCUCUGACUCUUCACAGCACAGCUGCCUAGCCUCAGUUACAAAAAGCAAGGGAUGGCACAUUUGCCUGGGCUUGUCAUCGUGGGAUUCUGGCAGCUUGCAUUUCGUUGAUCCUCUGUUGUCAUGGAGCUGUGGAAACUGGAGCUUCCCCCGGGGAUGCUGAGGUUGAAACUACCCCAAAAACGGGCACUGUUCAGAAGAAAAAUCUUCCUGUGGCUCCUCUGAAUGUUACAAUGCAGACUCAACAGCUGAGGCGUGGCUCAAUGAUGAGUGAUAGAGUGUGUGCCAGCAUCAGUCCCUAAGAAAGAAAAAUCAGCUCACACACCAUAACAACACACUCCCAGGAGGGCUUCAGAUAUGUCAAGACCUCACCAGUGUGGUACCAGCCAGAGCAGGCCCAUCUAAUGCUGUCAACAACUACCGUGGCUCUCCCCAAGAUCAUGGCCCUCAAACACACUCUGGUGCAUUUAAUCUGAUUUUAAGAAAGUUUUUAAAAUACCAUCUUGAUUCCCUGAAGGGAUGUGGGGCCCUGGUGUUGAAGAGGCCCCAAAUUCCUAACCAUUUCUCAAAUAAAAGAUUUCCACAAGGAUGAACAGUUACAUAAACUGAUUGAAGACUCCAAGUUAACAAGGGAGGAGUCCUGUACUACCUGAGUCAAUUUGUUUCCAGUCAGUUAUAUCCAAGACUUGCCUGGGACACUGAGGAUGGAUGUGGAUGCUUAAGUACCCGCUGUGCCAGGUGUCAUGAUAUCUGAGACGGACAGAGAAAACUUGGUACCGAGACUAGUGUUGCCACUUUAGCCCAGCCAACAGUGGAGAGCCAGGAGAAGAGGCCGCCCCAUGGAAGUUCUUAGAAAUCUCCACCAGUCUGAGGAGCAAGGAUCACAGCACGGAGCCCACUGCAGGACGGCAAACGCAUCACCAGGUGGGCGGAUAAUGGGAAAAGGCAAUCCUCAAAGCACACAGGGAGUGACAAUGACCCCUAAAGUAUGGAGUUUGUCCCUCUUCACUUUCCUGUCGAUGUGAUGGAACACUGAUUAAAACUAAUCUGGGGGGAAGGGUUAAUUUGGCUGCCAGGUUACAAUCCAUGCCAUGGCAGGAUCCUGGAGGAAGGAACUGAAGCAGAGACCAUGGGGGAACUCUGUUUCCUGGCUCGUUCACUUUGGCUUGCUCAGCCUGCGCCCUCACCCAUCAUAUAGCAAUGAAGAAAAUGCACCAUAGACAUGACAUGGCCACAAGCCAGACUGAUGGAGGCAGUCCCUCUAUUGAGGGUCCCUCUUCCCAGGUAUAUCAAUUUGACAACCAAAGCUAAAUAUGCCAGGGUCAUUCAUCUUAACACAAUAGCCAAACCUGUGCAGGUCACAAGGUGACCCAGAACAGGCUGCCAUGGGGAAAUCAGCAAAUGUGCUGUUUUGAAUACAGGCACAUAUUUCUCUAAAAUAAAAAUGAGUCAUUUGGGGCUGAAGAGAUGGCUCAGUCAGUGAAGUUCUUGCCUCAUAAGCAUUGGUUCCAAACCCAAGUAUAGAAAGCACGUCCCAAUCCCAGCUCUGGGAAGAGCAAGGCAGAUGGAGGUCUAGGACUUGCUAGCCAGCCAGCCUGGCCUACUUGGCAAGUCCAGGCAAAAUGAGAGACUCUGCCUCAAAAAGCUAAGUAGAAUGACACCUGAGGUUGUCCUCUGGCCUCUCCACACACAUGAGUUAUCACAUACAAAUGUGUAUUCACCUGCACCCACAAGCACAUAGAUGGAUAUAUAACCACAUGUGAACACACACACACACACCAAAGAAUGAGUUGUCUGUGCCCACAAUGUAAAAUACCAAUGCAAUUAUAUUUAUUCAAAAUAAUUUAUAAAAGCCAAGAACUAAGAAGCAUGUCUUCACUAAGCCAGUGUUCUCUUCUAGAUGCACAAGCCUCUGGUCUAAUUUGCUGGCUUCUGACAUCCCUCUACAAACAUGUAUUCCUGCCCAUGAAGCCCGCACAGCAUGCUGACCAUGCUGAGUGCUCUCCUGCUGUCUGCAUGUUCCACUUCUAGUACAUGUAAGAACUCUUGGGACCCCGGUCUCCUGGGGACACCCAGAAGUCUGUAAGGGCAGGAUGCAGGCUGCUGAAUCCUGGAGGAUCCCUGGGGCUCUCUGGCAGCAAUUCUAGCCUAAACGAGUUCCAGGAGGAUUAGAGGCCCUGUCUCUAAGGAGAUUGAUAGUGCUUCUGAGGAUGACACUCAAGGUUGUCCUCAACCUCCACAUACAUGUUAACACACAUGCCUGUGUACCUUCACACACAUGCACAU